GAUGAAGAACGUAGCGAAAUGCGAUACGUAAUGUGAAUUGCAAAUUCAGUGAAUCAUCGAGUCUUUGAACGCACAUUGCGCCCCCUGGUAUUCCGGGGGGCAUGCCUGUCCGAGCGUCAUUGCUGCCCUCAAGCACGGCUUGUGUGUUGGGCCCCGUCAUCCGAUCCCGGGGGACGGGCCCGAAAGGCAGCGGCGGCACCGCGUCCGGUCCUCGAGCGUAUGGGGCUUUGUCACCCGCUCUGUAGGCCCGGCCGGCGCUUGCCGAUCAACCCAAAUUUUUAUCCAGGUUGACCUCGGAUCAGGUAGGGAUACCCGCUGAACUUAAGCAUAUCAAUAAGCGGAGGA
rnacentral:misc_RNA from 1 species